AUGAACGCUAGCUACAGGCUUAACACAUGCAAGUCGAGGGGCAGCAUGGUCUUAGCUUGCUAAGGCCGAUGGCGACCGGCGCACGGGUGAGUAACACGAAUCCAACCUGCCGUCUACUCUUGGACAGCCUUCUGAAAGGAAGAUUAAUACAAGAUGGCAUCAUGAGUCCACAUGUUCACAUGAUUAAAGGUAUUCCGGUAGACGAUGGGGAUGCGUUCCAUUAGAUAGUAGGCGGGGUAACGGCCCACCUAGUCUUCGAUGGAUAGGGGUUCUGAGAGGAAGGUCCCCCACAUUGGAACUGAGACACGGUCCAAACUCCUACGGGAGGCAGCAGUGAGGAAUAUUGGUCAAUGGGCGAGAGCCUGAACCAGCCAAGUAGCGUGAAGGAUGACUGCCCUAUGGGUUGUAAACUUCUUUUAUAAAGGAAUAAAGUCGGGUAUGCAUACCCGUUUGCAUGUACUUUAUGAAUAAGGAUCGGCUAACUCCGUGCCAGCAGCCGCGGUAAUACGGAGGAUCCGAGCGUUAUCCGGAUUUAUUGGGUUUAAAGGGAGCGUAGAUGGAUGUUUAAGUCAGUUGUGAAAGUUUGCGGCUCAACCGUAAAAUUGCAGUUGAUACUGGAUAUCUUGAGUGCAGUUGAGGCAGGCGGAAUUCGUGGUGUAGCGGUGAAAUGCUUAGAUAUCACGAAGAACUCCGAUUGCGAAGGCAGCCUGCUAAGCUGCAACUGACAUUGAGGCUCGAAAGUGUGGGUAUCAAACAGGAUUAGAUACCCUGGUAGUCCACACGGUAAACGAUGAAUACUCGCUGUUUGCGAUAUACAGCAAGCGGCCAAGCGAAAGCGUUAAGUAUUCCACCUGGGGAGUACGCCGGCAACGGUGAAACUCAAAGGAAUUGACGGGGGCCCGCACAAGCGGAGGAACAUGUGGUUUAAUUCGAUGAUACGCGAGGAACCUUACCCGGGCUUAAAUUGCAGAUGAAUUACGGUGAAAGCCGUAAGCCGCAAGGCAUCUGUGAAGGUGCUGCAUGGUUGUCGUCAGCUCGUGCCGUGAGGUGUCGGCUUAAGUGCCAUAACGAGCGCAACCCUUGUUGUCAGUUACUAACAGGUUCCGCUGAGGACUCUGACAAGACUGCCAUCGUAAGAUGUGAGGAAGGUGGGGAUGACGUCAAAUCAGCACGGCCCUUACGUCCGGGGCUACACACGUGUUACAAUGGGGGGGUACAGAGGGCCGCUACCACGCGAGUGGAUGCCAAUCCCAAAAACCUCUCUCAGUUCGGACUGGAGUCUGCAACCCGACUCCACGAAGCUGGAUUCGCUAGUAAUCGCGCAUCAGCCACGGCGCGGUGAAUACGUUCCCGGGCCUUGUACACACCGCCCGUCAAGCCAUGGGAGCCGGGGGUACCUGAAGUGCGUAACCGCGAGGAGCGCCCUAGGGUAAAACUGGUGACUGGGGCU
rnacentral:rRNA from 1 species